rnacentral:tRNA from 1 species
GCUUUUGUGGUAUAGUGGUCAGGACGCUCGGCACGUGUUCUAGAGGUCCGUGGUUCGAGUCCCGGCUAGAGCA